CACACGCCGCGUGAUGCUUUGUGGAAGGAAAGCAGGGGUAGUGGGGCGGCGGCCUCUGAAAGAAGAGGAAGCCAGGGGAUUAGAAACUCCUCCUGGUGCGGAUGGUCCAAGUUAAGCAAAGCUUAACAUGUGCAGCAGUUUAAGAAGGUGAAGCCAGAAGAACAGGCCAUUUUCUCUAGUGAUGGAGAAUAAGCAACGACAUCAGGAAGCCAUGCCACGACUGGUGAUUACAGAAUCUGCCAUUUCAAGGCGUCCAAUUAUUUCCUCUAAACUCCACUCACGAUGGACUCAAAGGCAGGCUCUUCAGUGGAGGCAGAGGGAACACUUUCACUCCACUGCACCCUUCUGGACUCCUCUGGGCUCAUUCAUUCAGAUCACUCAAGAACGGGUGAAGCCAGUUGCCAAGUCCUGAGAAUAUUUAAGAAGCCCUACAGGGAAGGCCAUGUGAUGAACAGCUCAAGUCUCUUGCCAACAGCCAUGUGAGCGUGCCAUCUUGGAAACCAACCCUUUGGCCUCAGUCAAGUCUUCAGAAGCCUGAACCCCCAAACAAUUUCUUACCUACAAACUCCUGAGAGACUCCCAAGUCAGAACCAUGCAGCUAAGCCACUUCCGGAUUCCUGACCCUCAGAAACUCAGGGUUCAGUGAGGACUUCAGAGUUGAUGGCAAUCACGACCCACGGAGCCACUACCAUGGAUAACAUAUAUGCUAUAGAUAAUGAUGUUUGUCUUUGGCCACCAAAUUAUAGCCACCUCCCUUCUCUCACAGUCUCUCUUUGCAAGCUGUGGAAAGAACCAGGCUGUAAUAUUUGUUUGCUAAAAUGUCAAGACAGAUCUUGGAGCAGACUCUCUGAAAUGACAGUGGGGGAUUUUACCACAUCUACUGAUAGAGAUACAGCUGUUCCUGUACUGGAGACAGGUGGAAU